rnacentral:rRNA from 1 species
CCUACGGGAGGCAGCAGUGAGGAAUAUUGGACAAUGGGCGCAAGCCUGAUCCAGCCAUGCCGCGUGCAGGAAGAAGCAUCUAUGGUGUGUAAACUGCUUUUGUACAGGAAGAAACACUCCCUCGUGGGGGAGCUUGACGGUACUGUAAGAAUAAGGACCGGCUAACUCCGUGCCAGCAGCCGCGGUAAUACGGAGGGUCCGAGCGUUAUCCGGAAUCAUUGGGUUUAAAGGGUCCGUAGGCGGUUUAAUAAGUCAGUGGUGAAAUCUGGUCGCUCAACGAUCAAACGGCCAUUGAUACUGUUAGACUUGAAUUAUAAGGAAGUAACUAGAAUACGUAGUGUAGCGGUGAAAUGCUUAGAUAUUACAUGGAAUACCAAUUGCGAAGGCAGGUUACUACUUAUGGAUUGACGCUGAUGGACGAAAGCGUGGGGAGCGAACAGGAUUAGAUACCCUGGUAGUCCACGCCGUAAACGAUGGAUACUAGCUGUUCGGAGCAAUCUGAGUGGCUAAGCGAAAGUGAUAAGUAUCCCACCUGGGGAGUACGUUCGCAAGAAUGAAACUUAAAUGAAUUGACGGCUGAGAGAGCGAGAGACACGAGGAGGAGG